rnacentral:lncRNA from 1 species
AAAACUUUUCUUUAGUGAAAUAAAAAUAAAUGCUAAAUACAUUUUGUUUUUUUUUAAGUCGCGAGUUGUAAAAACAAAAAAAUAAAUAAAUUGUGAGGAGUGUAGGCGAAGAGCCCACGAUCACCUCUAAGCGCCCGGGAGAACGUGGUCAUCAGAGGCAAGAAGAGGGAGAAGCCUUUAUUAUACUUGCCAAGGCAGGAGGAUUGGCCAUCAGCGGUGACGACCAUAUAAGGCCCAAAGCACGAAACCCGUGGAAGAACCCGCCCCCCCCCCAACGACACUGUGCCAGGAGAUAAGGUGAACCACGCCAGAGUGAAGGCGAAAAGGGUACGGCACAGUUCGCUGGUGAGUGCUAGGCUUAAGUAUCAUAAAAUUCUAUGCAAAAGCUUUUGCGCGAGGGAAAUAUCUACCCAAAAGGAUUUUUUUUAAAGCUCGCAACGAGGAGCAAAGAUUCAGCCUUCCGGUUUGUGUAAGGGGUCAGUCGAGACCACCACCGGCAUGUUAUAACCCAAUCAUUGGGAUUAGAUGAUACACUGCGCGUCCCAAGUAUAGUCCGAGAAAUAUUAAUUUUUUUGAACAUUUCAUUAUUUGUAAUAUAUACGUUCAGGCAUUUGUGUUGCGUAGAUAAUUUGUUAAUAAGUUUGUACGUAUUUAUACUUUCGUUUUUUUUUAUUGUCUUUGUGCCCGCCAGGCAAGAAGAACCCAAACAAAAGGGUAAAUUGUAGUAGUUUCUGAGCGGGGAAUAUCCGGCUCCCGGAAACCCUUCACACCAUCCGAAAAGAGCUCUUGUAGGUAGGGUGGCAGGUUUUUAUAUAGUUUGUUUGACAUACGUGUAUAAACGGUGAUCGAUUUGAUUGGUUCCUUUUUGUUGUGGCGGCCGGAAACCGAUCAUAAAAUUCAUUGAUUUUGUUGUGUGUAAAUUCCUAUGUUUUAUAAUAAAUUUUAACGUGUAUAUGAAAGAA